CAUGUAGGUAUUAGGCAGCCAGUAAUACAGGUGUACGUAUCAGUUCUACCUGUUGAACCAGCAAUCGAUCCACGUGUUUACGAUCAUUUCAAAUUCAGAGUUGAGAGCGCAGCACCCUAUUGUUUUCCAAUCAUAUUAAAUGAUUGUUCCACGUCUUCCAACCUGUUCCAGUGAUAAAUAUUCUCGAAGAAAG